rnacentral:rRNA from 3 species
CAACGAGCGCAACCCUUAUCCUUUGUUGCCAGCGGUCCGGCCGGGAACUCAAAGGAGACUGCCAGUGAUAAACUGGAGGAAGGUGGGGAUGACGUCAAGUCAUCAUGGCCCUUACGACCAGGGCUACACACGUGCUACAAUGGCGCAUACAAAGAGAAGCGACCUCGCGAGAGCAAGCGGACCUCAUAAAGUGCGUCGUAGUCCGGAUUGGAGUCUGCAACUCGACUCCAUGAAGUCGGAAUCGCUAGUAAUCGUGGAUCAGAAUGCCACGGUGAAUACGUUCCCGGGCCUUGUACACACCGCCCGUCACACCAUGGGAGUGGGUUGCAAAAGAAGUAGGUAGCUUAACCUUCGGGAGGGCGCUUACCACUUUGUGAUUCAUGACUGGGGUGAAGUCGUAACAAGGUAACCGUAGGGGAACCUGC